rnacentral:rRNA from 1 species
CAGCCGCCGCGGGAAUACAGAGGGUGCGAGCGUUAAUCGGAUUUACUAGGCGUAAAGCGUGCGUAGGCGGCUUCUUAAGUCGGAUGUGAAAUCCCUGAGCUUAACUUAGGAAUUGCAUUCGAUACUGGGAAGCUAGAGUAUGGGAGAGGAUGGUAGAAUUCCAGGUGUAGCGGUGAAAUGCGUAGAGAUCUGGAGGAAUACCGAUGGCGAAGGCAGCCAUCUGGCCUAAUACUGACGCUGAGGUACGAAAGCAUGGGGAGCAAACAGGAUUAGAUACCCCGGUAGUCCCUGUCUCUUAUAC